GAUGAACGCUGGCGGCGUGCCUAAUACAUGCAAGUCGAGCGAACAGACGAGGAGCUUGCUCCUCUGACGUUAGCGGCGGACGGGUGAGUAACACGUGGAUAACCUACCUAUAAGACUGGGAUAACUUCGGGAAACCGGAGCUAAUACCGGAUAAUAUAUUGAACCGCAUGGUUCAAUAGUGAAAGACGGUUUUGCUGUCACUUAUAGAUGGAUCCGCGCCGCAUUAGCUAGUUGGUAAGGUAACGGCUUACCAAGGCAACGAUGCGUAGCCGACCUGAGAGGGUGAUCGGCCACACUGGAACUGAGACACGGUCCAGACUCCGACGGGAGGCAGCAGUAGGGAAUCUUCCGCAAUGGGCGAAAGCCUGACGGAGCAACGCCGCGUGAGUGAUGAAGGUCUUCGGAUCGUAAAACUCUGUUAUGAGGGAAGAACAAAUGUGUAAGUAACUAUGCACGUCUUGACGGUACCUAAGCAGAAAGCCACGGCUAACUACGU
rnacentral:rRNA from 1 species